rnacentral:lncRNA from 1 species
UGAUAUCGCAUCGUGGUCAGAUUUUCCUGCAGCAUACAAUUACAGAUUAGGUGCUUGACAAGAAUGUUCAGUAAUAACUCUUCACAUGAGGUUUCUGUGCAACCAAAUCACAAGAUAAAAUAACUCAAGUGCAUUUUCCUUUUCUCGCAGACAAAUUACCCUACCUUGGCCAGGCUUCAUGAAGCGUACAUGGAACAUCCAGCUUUCCAAGCCGCGCUGCCAGAGCGGCAACCGGACGCACCUUCCUCUCCUGAGAUCUGAUCAUAUCUACAUUAAAACACUUAUAUUAGGAUCAAAUAACCCUGUGGUGCCGGAAGAAACAGAUCUCUCAUACUUGGAAUGAUUACAUAAUUUCUAGUAUUUUCUGGUUGCACCAAACUGCAGCAAAUACGGCACAAUUGGGAUAUUGUUUCUCUGUUUUGCAUAUAUCUUCGUGGCUUGUUCAAGCAAUUACUAUUGUAACUAUCGUAGUUCUGUGAUCUCUUUAAAAUUUAUAUAAAGAUGAAAGAAGCCAGAAAAGGUUCAUUUUGCCGCAUCUUAUGGCAAUAGAACCUUAGCUUGAUCAUCACCAUGCUGGCUUCUCUUCUCCACAACCUCUGCAUCCAUUGAGCAGUUUGUUGAUGUGAAACUGAAUAGGGAUAACUAUCUUCUGUGGAAGGUUUAUACUAUCAAUCUUGCGAUGUAGAGAACAGAUUGAUAUCCAUUAAAAAAAUUAUAAUAAAAGGUGUACCGGUAGAGAAGACUUUUACAGUGAUCUCUACACAAAGUUUUGUACUACUCCUGGAAAUGACCUGAGAGUUUAGACCAAUUCUAUACUUGUAUUUGGACGUAGCGGCUUUCCUUGGGCUUAUUUACCGUCAUCAUCAGGUUUCCCACUAGAUUAGCAACAAGUUACCGCCAUCAUAAGGCCUUUCUAAGAGUACUGUUGAUGAUGAUUAAGUUAAUGCGAGAUCAUCCAGAAGUACGAAACCAUUCCUGUGAAACAGCAUUAUAUUUUCCCCCACAAACCUGACAGAGGAGAGCAACAUAUCCUAUGCCCACAAACUUUUUUCACACCAACUAGUAAAUAUCACAAAAAAUCUAGAAAGAAUUAGACAUAUACUCCUAAAUUAAUGCACAUAUCUGCAAAGUCUCAAAUUCAAAUUCAUUAUAUUUUAGCAGUAACCCAAAAAGUAAAACUGUCAGAUUUUUUGCCUUUUUUUGUUAUGGCUAAAUAUAAUAAAUAUGAGACUUUGUAAUAUGUGUAAUACUAUUAGGAGUAUAUGUUCAUUUUUUCUAGAAUUUUUAUUUUUCGUGACAUUUGCUAAUUUGUGUGCACAGGAAACUUGUGUGUAUAGGAUAUGUUGCCAAAUUACUUCACCUGAUGAUCAAAGCAGACUAAAUGGUGGUAAAAUUUACAAAGUUAAAUCUUCUCCCACGAUAAAAGAUUAAUCUCCUAUCCAAACAUUUUGCCCAUGCUCUGCUCACACGGCUCUGGGAAGACAAACAGGUGCAGGAAAGAACAACCUGAAACUUUGCUUAAAUUAAAGGAAAAGCAAGGACGAUUUCUCAAAAUCUUACCUCAGUAACUUGCAUCAUUCAGGAACUUUCUAUAUCAAUUUUGAGAGUAAUCUCCUUCACUUUGUCCUCAGCUUUCAUGUACGAGGGCGAUAGCCCUUUGACUCUGUACAUGAAUUUCACCAACUAAUUCUGGAUUCUUGGUGGUAAUUUUGACUUUCUGUGUCUUUUCCUGACCUUAGCUCCGUUGUUCCAGUCUUGCUUACAACAGUGCCACCUAGACCAAGUAGUCCUCUUCUGAGCUUUUACAGGGAUAUAUUUAC